GGUUAACGCUGGCGGCGUGCCUAACACAUGCAAGUCGAACGGUUCUAAGCGCGAGCUUAGGAUAGUGGCGAACGGGUGAGUAAAAGGUAGGAAUCUACCCCUUGGACGGAGAUAGCUACUGGAAACGGUAGGUAAACUUCGAUAAGCCCGAGAGGGGAAAGUGGUGAGACAGCCGAGGGAUGAGCCUACUCUCCAUCAGGUAGUUGGUGAGAUAAAAGCUUACCAAGCCGAUGACGGAUAACCGGUGUGAGAGCAUGAACGGUCACAAGGGCACUGAGAGACGGGCCCUACUCCUACGGGAGGCAGCAGUGGGGAAUCUUGGACAAUGGGCGAAAGCCUGAUCCAGCGACGCCGCGUGGAGGAAGAAGCCCUUCGGGGUGUAAACUGCUUUUGUACGGAACGAAACGGUGAGCUCUAAUAAAAGACUUGCUAAUGACGGUACCGUAAGAAUAAAGCACCGGCUAACUACGUG
rnacentral:rRNA from 1 species